GGGUCGUUAGCUCAGUCGGUAGAGCAGUUGGCUUUUAACCAAUUGGUCGUAGGUUCGAAUCCUACAUGACCCACCA
rnacentral:tRNA from 1 species